GCCAGUGUUCUAGCAGCCUUCAGAUGAAGAGGUAAGACUCUCAGCUCCUCUUGCACCAUGCCUGCCUGGAUGCUGCCAUGCUCCUGCCUUGGUGAUAAUGGACUGAACCUCUGAACCUGUAAGCCAGCCCCAAUUAAAUGUUGUCCUUAUGAGA
rnacentral:lncRNA from 1 species